AAACCAGCACCUCAAGUGGUCAGGAUGAUUAUUGGGCCUAAAGCAUCCGUAGCCGGCUCUGUAAGUUUUCGGUUAAAUCUGUACGCUUAACGUACAGGCCGCCGGGAAUACUGCAGAGCUAGGGAGUGGGAGAGGUAGACGGUACUCGGGAGGAAGUGGUAAAAUGCUGUGAUCUCUCGAUGACCACCUGUGGCGAAGGCGGUCUACCAGAACACGUUCGACGGUGAGGGAUGAAAGCUGGGGGAGCAAACCGGAUUAGAAACCCGAGUAGUCC
rnacentral:rRNA from 1 species